GCAAACUUGGUCAUUUAGAGGAAGUAAAAGUCGUAACAAGGUUUCCGUAGGUGAACCUGCGGAAGGAUCAUUACCAGGUUUUUUGAAAACCAUCCUUUAUCAACCGUGUGCAUCUAAAUUGAAUUUCGGAGUCCCUUCGGGGUUUCUGAUUUUUCAAUCUUUUCAAUCAUGCCUAAAUGUUUGUCUGAAUUUAAUUGUUAAACGCAAUACAACUUUCAACAACGGAUCUCUUGGCUCUCGCAUCGAUGAAGAACGCAGC
rnacentral:misc_RNA from 1 species